rnacentral:rRNA from 1 species
CAGCAGCCGCGGGAAUACGGAGGGUGCAAGCGUUAUCCGGAUUUAUUGGGUUUAAAGGGUCCGUAGGCGGAUCUGUAAGUCAGUGGUGAAAUCUCACAGCUUAACUGUGAAACUGCCAUUGAUACUGCAGGUCUUGAGUAAAUUUGAAGUGGCUGGAAUAAGUAGUGUAGCGGUGAAAUGCAUAGAUAUUACUUAGAACACCAAUUGCGAAGGCAGGUCACUAAGAUUUAACUGACGCUGAUGGACGAAAGCGUGGGGAGCGAACAGGAUUAGAUACCCCUGAGUCCCUGUCUCUUAUACC